UAGACACGAAUUACUAGGCUCAAUGCAGGGGUAACUAGGCAAAAUUUAAUAACUUGUGGUUAGAUGAAUCACAGUACAGCCAGGUACAGACACGACACUUUUACCGGUAUAAAAGAACUGAAGUUUGGUGCACAGAGUAGUUUAACAAUGACAGAACCUGGUCUAAGUGUUGACCU